rnacentral:rRNA from 1 species
AUGUCUGAGCCUUCUCUUGGAUCAGGAGACAAUCGAAAUGACACAGAAGUUGAGGUCAAUGGCAAAGAGAGAGCAAAGAAAGGAGGAAAAAGGAAAAAGGCAGCAGUGGAUACUACUAAGGUGAAGGUGAAGAAAACGAAACUUAAAUGUGCAGAAUGUUGGCAGCAUUUCAAGGAGGUCAAGGCUGUAAGUAAGAGGAUGCCAGGGGCGGUUGUUACGAAGGCAAAAUGUUUGCAUUGUGCUAAAUUGUUUUCUUAUACUCCUGGGGGAUCAACUACUAGUCUCAAUAGGCAUAAAGAUGUUUGUUCAGUCUAUCUAAACAAGAAGGGAAGGCAACUACAGCAAGGUACAAUCAACUUUGAUCCUGAAAAGCCAGGUGCAUCUCUCAUAGUAAACCAUGAAUACAAUCAUGCGGAAGUCGUUAAGAUCAUAGCAAAGAUGAUAAUUGUGCAUGAUUAUCCCUUUAGAAUGGUAGAGCAUGCUUGGUUCAAUAUCCUCAUGAGGUAUAUGAAUGUGUCCUACAAGUUCAUUGGUCGGAAGAAGAUUAGAGCUGAAUGCAUGAAGCUUUAUCUUUCCAAGAAAGAAAUCCUUAAAAAGCAACUUAAGUCUGUUGAAAGCAUUAGUUUGACAUGUGAUCUAUGGACUUCAAACCAAACUCUCUCAUACCUAGCUGUGGUCGCUCACUACAUAGAUGAUGAUUGGGUCAUGCAAUGUCGUGUUUUAGACUUCAUAGAGCUAGAUCCACCUCACUCGGGUAGUGUCAUAGCUCAAGCAGUUUUUGAGUGUUGCCAAGAAUGGAAAAUAGAAGAUAAGAUCAUGACAAUCACUAUGGAUAAUGCUUCCUCAAAUGAUAAUGCUGCCAAGAGAUUGAUGGACAAGAUCAUUGCUAGGAAAUCGGCUAAAUUUAUUCCUAAGUACUUCCAUGUUCGCUGCUGUGCGCACAUUGUCAAUUUGAUAGUGAAUGAUGGCAUUGCUCUAUUGCAAACUUUGAUCAAUAAGCUUAGGGAUACUGUCAAGUAUUUGAAAAAAUCCCCAACAUGCAUGUAA